CUCUUUUGCUUCCUGUUCUUGUGUUUCUUCUUCAAAUCCUGCAUCAUCUAUUUCACCAUCUUCUAAUUCACCAUCUUCUCUGAGAAACUGGAAUGUCAUGAUCCCAG